rnacentral:rRNA from 1 species
UACGGAGGGUGCGAGCGUUGUUCGGAAUUAUUGGGCGUAAAGCGCGUGUAGGCGGUUUGUUAAGUCUGAUGUGAAAGCCCCGGGCUCAACCUGGGAAGUGCAUUGGAUACUGGCAGACUUGAAUACGGGAGAGGGCAGUGGAAUUCCUGGUGUAGGAGUGAAAUCCGUAGAUAUCAGGAGGAACACCGGUGGCGAAGGCGGCUGCCUGGACCGAUAUUGACGCUGAGACUGCCGAA